rnacentral:rRNA from 1 species
UACGGGGGGGGCAAGCGUUGUUCGGAAUUACUGGGCGUAAAGGGCUCGUAGGCGGCCAACUAAGUCAGACGUGAAAUCCCUCGGCUUAACCGGGGAAGUGCGUCUGAUACUGGAUGGCUUGAGGUUGGGAGAGGGAUGCGGAAUUCCAGGUGUAGCGGUGAAAUGCGUAGAUAUCUGGAGGAACACCGGUGGCGAAGGCGGCAUCCUGGACCAACACUGACGCUGAGGAGCGAAAGCCAGGGGAGCAAACGGG